rnacentral:misc_RNA from 1 species
GAUGAAGAACGCAGCGAAAUGCGAUAAGUAAUGUGAAUUGCAGAAUUCAGUGAAUCAUCGAAUCUUUGAACGCACCUUGCGCCCCUUGGUUAUUCCAAAGGGCAUGCCUGUUUGAGUAUCAUGAACACCUCAACUCUUGUGGUUUCCCACAAUGAGCUUGGACUGUGGAGGUUUUGUUGGCCCUGUGGUCAGCUCCUCUCAAAUGGAUCAGCUUACCGGUGUUUGGUGGCAUUACGGGUGUGAUAACUAUCUACGCUCGUGGUCGUCUCCAAAUAACCUCCAGUGAUGGAGGUUCGCUGGAGCUUAUAAAUGUCUCUCCCCAGUGAAGCCAGCCUUUGAACGUUCGAUCUCAAAUCAGGUAGGACUACCCGCUGAACUUAAGCAUAUCAAUAAGCGGAGGA